rnacentral:rRNA from 1 species
CUCAGAACCUGCCAUCGCGCAUCUUUUGACUUUGACCUGAAAUCAGGUAGGGCUACCCGCUGAACUUAAGCAUAUCAAUAAGCGGAGGAAAAGAAACUAACAAGGAUUCCCCUAGUAACGGCGAGUGAACCGGGAAGAGCUCAAAUUUGAAAUCUGGCGUGCUCAGUGCGUCCGAGUUGUAAUCUAUAGAGGCGUUUUCCGUGCCGGACUGUGUCCAAGUCCCUUGGAACAGGGUAUCAAAGAGGGUGAUAAUCCCGUACUUGACACAAUGACCGGUGCUCUGUGAUACGUCUUCUACGAGUCGAGUUGUUUGGGAAUGCAGCUCAAAAUGGGUGGUGAGUUCCAUCUAAAGCUAAAUAUUGGCGAGAGACCGAUAGCGAACAAGUACCGUGAGGGAAAGAUGAAAAGCACUUUGGAAAGAGAGUUAAACAGUACGUGAAAUUGUUGAAAGGGAAACGAUUGAAGUCAGUCGUGACUGAGAGGCUCAGCCGGUUCUGCCGGUGUAUUCCCCUCAGUCGGGUCAACAUCAGUUUUGUUCGGUGGAUAAGGGCAGUUGGAAGGUGGCACCCUCGGGUGUGUUAUAGCCARCUGUCGCAUACAUCGGAUGAGACUGAGGAAUGCAGCUCGCCUUUAUGGCC